rnacentral:rRNA from 1 species
AAGGUGGGAUAGAUGAUUGGGGUGAAGUCGUAACAAGGUAGCCGUAUCGGAAGGUGCGGCUGGAUCACCUCCUUUCU